rnacentral:rRNA from 1 species
UACGAAGGGGGCGAGCGUUGUUCGGAUUUACUGGGCGUAAAGGGCGCGCAGGCGGCUCAUUUUGUCAGGCGUGAAAGCCCCGGGCUCAACCUGGGAAUUGCAUUUGAGACUGCGUAGCUAGGGUGCGGAAGAGGGAAGCGGAAUUUCCGGUGUAGCGGUGAAAUGCGUAGAUAUGACACAGAACACCAAUUGCGAAGGCAGCUCACAAAACUGUAACUGACACUGAGGCACGAAAGCGUGGGGAUCAAACGGG